rnacentral:tRNA from 1 species
GUAACUGUAGUUCAAUGGUAGAACAUCCGAAAACACAGGAGGUUAGGGGUUCGACUCCCCUCAGUUACA